rnacentral:rRNA from 1 species
UACGGAAGGGGCUAGCGUUGUUCGGAAUUACUGGGCGUAAAGAGCGCGUAGGCGGCUUACCAAGUUGGGGGUGAAAUCGCGGAGCUCAACUCCGGAACUGCCUUCAAAACUGGUAGGCUCGAGUCCGGAAGAGGGGCGUGGAAGUCCCAGUGUAGAGGUGAAAUUCGUAGAUAUUGGGAAGAACACCGGUGGCGAAGGCGGCGCCCUGGCCCGGUACUGACGCUGAGGCGCGAAAGCGUGGGGAGCAAACAGG